rnacentral:rRNA from 1 species
GGCUGUCGUCAGCUCGUGUCGUGAGAUGUUGGGUUAAGUCCCGCAACGAGCGCAACCCACGUCUUUAGUUGCCAGCAUUAAGUUGGGCACUCUAGAGAGACCGCCGGUGAUAAACCGGAGGAAGGUGUGGAUGACGUCAAGUCAUCGUGCCCCUUACAUCCUGGGCUACACACGUACUACAAUGCUACGGACAAAGGGCCGCAAACUCGCGAGAGCUAGCAAAUCCCAUAAACCGUGGCUCAGUUCAGAUCGUAGGCUGCAACUCGCCUACGUGAAGGAGGAAUCGCUAGUAAUCGCAGGUCAGCAUACUGCGGUGAAUACGUUCCCGGGCCUUGUACACACCGCCCGUCACACCAUGGAAGUUGGCCACGCCCGAAGUCGUUACUCCAACCUGCAAGGGAGGAGGAUGCCGAAGGUGGGGCUGAUGACUGGGGUGAAGUCGUAACAAGGUAGCCGUACCGGAAGGUGCGGCUGGAUCACCUCCUAA